rnacentral:pre_miRNA from 1 species
UGGAUGUAUGACACUUUAUUUUGCCUAGAAGGCUUUGCCAUAGAAACGGCAAAGCCUUCUAGGCAAAAUAAAGUGUCAUACAUCCA